UACGAAGGGGGCUAGCGUUGCUCGGAAUCACUGGGCGCAAAGCGCACGUAGGCGGAUCGUUAAGUCGGGGGUGAAAUCCUGGAGCUCAACUCCAGAACUGCCUCCGAUACUGGCGAUCUUGGAGUCCGGGAGAGGUGAGUGGAACUCCGAGUGUAGAGGUGAAAUUCGUAGAUAUUCGGAAGAACACCAGUGGCGAAGGCGGCUCACUGGCCCGGUACUGACGCUGAGGUGCGAAAGCGUGGGGAGCAAACAGG
rnacentral:rRNA from 1 species